CCUACGGGAGGCAGCAGUGGGGAAUAUUGGACAAUGGGCGAAAGCCUGAUCCAGCCAUGCCGCGUGUGUGAAGAAGGCCUUCGGGUUGUAAAGCACUUUCAGUGGGGAAGAAAGCCUUGGGGCUAAUACCCUCGAGGAAGGACAUCACCCACAGAAGAAGCACCGGCUAACUCCGUGCCAGCAGCCGCGGUAAUACGGAGGGUGCGAGCGUUAAUCGGAAUUACUGAGCGUAAAGCGCGCGUAGGCGGUCUGAUAAGCCGGUUGUGAAAGCCCCGGGCUCAACCUGGGAACGGCAUCCGGAACUGUCAGGCUAGAGUGCAGGAGAGGAAGGUAGAAUUCCCGGUGUAGCGGUGAAAUGCGUAGAGAUCGGGAGGAAUACCAGUGGCGAAGGCGGCCUUCUGGACUGACACUGACGCUGAGGUGCGAAAGCGUGGGUAGCAAACAGGAUUAGAUACCCCAGUAGUC
rnacentral:rRNA from 1 species